GCUCUUUCGUCCUCUUUUCUUCUUAUAAAUUAAUCUUUGGCUCUCCACCCGAGUCUAAUACUGAAGUCCACUGCGGCAUCAAGAAUGAUGGUCACUCCACCAAUGCAACGCCCGGACACUCAGGCGGUCACGGCGGACAGUGGAUGAAACUAGGUAGAAGAAACCGAAUCAAGUCAACCUGGACUGAGCUGCCUGCCUUUUUAUCAGCGAUGCACAAUCCACUCAGCUUCUCAACGUGUUCGCUAGUUCAGUCCUGAUGUCCGUCUUGUGUCCGUCAAUGAAGAAAAAACUUGCUUUUGAAAGGUCAUCAUGCCUUCCCGUUCAUUAUUGUCUCCGUGAGGUGCAGAAAGCGAAGGUGAAGCGUGGUCGUGGUGCACCGUUGGUAUGCAGAGCAUUUUGAUAUCUGAUCGUGCCUACAUGUAUGUGUAUGUGUAUGUGUAUGUGUAUGUGUAUGUGUAUGUGUAUGUGUAUGUGUAUGUGCAUGUGUAUGUGUAUGUGUAUGUGGUGAAGAUGUUGUCUACAGUAUACUAUGCACGCUUUGUCAAGACUUGAUCUGUAUGUACAUGUAUGUAGGGGAAACCGAGGGGCCGGCGCGGGAGCGGUUUCAGGAACACUACCAGGACGGGCGGAAGAUGGUGGAGAAGGCUCCAUGAGCUACCCAGCUACGAAACCCACCACCGAGGAUAUCUUCACACAUCAUCUUCUCUUUAUUUCAAAGUUUGAUAUUUGCUGAGUCGAAGAUUUGAUGGACUUCUCGUGUGUUUGCAAUAGACCGAUCCCCUUAUUAUACUGGGUUCGAGCACGGGGGCAACCUCACUCGCGAUCGAGCUAGUUUUUGAACGUGACAGCAUCUUUGACAGUGUGUUUCAGGUUUGUUUUGGAAUGUCUUCUGCUUAGUUCAAGUAGUUUGCGAUGGCUUCGAGCGGUGCUAAACCUCCUGCUGGUAGGAGCAGAGUCUCCGAGAGAGACAUGGACUGUGAUGCCGCUGCAGGAUUUUUUCAAGGCGCGGGAGGGAACGAUCUCGGGCCACAAACAGGAGUAUUCCAGAGAGCCAUCUUCUAUGAAGGCAACCGUGGUGCUGCCAAGUCACCAAGUCACGAUCAGCAGCCCUGAAGUGGAAAAAUCGAUUUUCCAACGAUCUGGUUGGACAUCAGCCACUAAAGUACUUCUGAUUUGCCUGUAGUGACAACAGCAGCCAUCCUUGGACACCUUGCAAAGACAGAAAAAGCCACUGGUGGAAGCGACUGCUAUGAGGUGACGAUAGCAGUGCAGUGGUGAUCGCUGUUUUGUCAAGUCGAAGGGCUAGCCAACCCAGAGGAAGCAUAAAAAAACGAUGAGCAGUGCGUGGUAUUUGUUGAGCGUGAAGAGCUAGAGGAGGACAGUGCAAACACAUGGACGGAGUGGAUGGUGUUUGAAGAACAGUGUGCUGUGUGCCGGCUGGUGGUGAUGGUGGUCUUUGUCAGCAUGUAUUCGUGCUGCUUCUUGUGCUGGAACACUUCUCGCCCAGGAAGGCAGAUUGCGUGCUCCCUGGCCCUCAGUUGGCAAUGGGGCAUUUGUUCCAGGAACAUUACCCCAGAGCCAAUGAUGAGUCGUACCUUUGAAAAGUCGAAGCUUGCUGUUAAUCGCAAGCGUAGCGCAGUGGAUUCCUCCCUCUUCGAAGCACGAGGGCCAAAGCUUGCCGCUGUCUGCAGCAAAGUGUGUGUGCGGUUCUUUCGAACCUAUGAAUAUACCCCCCUGCAUGUUCAGAGUGAACUAUUUUCUAGUAUAUUUAACAUCCUCAACCCGCCACCACCAUGCGCCCUUGGAUCGAACUAAUGCACGAAGCAUAAACACACCAGCACAGCAAGGACACUUCCGUUGACAGAUAUUGUUUACGCCUCUAGACCGCUGUUUCUUUUCUUCGAGCUCAUCGUUAGAGGAGGAUAGCAGCAGGAUACUAAUGAUGAUAUAAUAUAAGAUGAUAGACGGUUUAUGGUCCGAUAUUGAUGAUUGAAGAUCUAAGAAAGCAAUGACAGUGAUUGCGAAAUGGAUAAUAUUAUCAUGAUUAUAUGCCAGUCUGGUAAUGCGUUGUACUAGUGGACAGUAUUGAAAUCAUCACUGCAUUCGAUGCAAAUAUUGGUAUACCUUUGGUUUCAGUAUUGGAAAAAAAGAGUAAGAGAACCUGGUUGAUUUGGUUGCAUCUGCGACUGGCUACCGGGUGUUGUGA